rnacentral:sRNA from 1 species
AUUUGGUAAAGAAAAUUUCAAUGAAAUUUGCUAAAAAAACCUAUAUAACCGUAAAUUUAAAUAUGUAAAUAAAACUUUGUAACAAACUAAACUAAUUCUAAUUAUGGGAUAAUCUAAUUAUACUAAAUCAACAGUCACUUUUUCAAUAACUGAUACAUUCUCCUUUCGACAUGUGGCAUAAGUCUCAUUUUUUUAUGUUUUACUUUUUUUAAUCAAUUUUCAUUUAUUAUUGAAAAAAAAAUAAGUUUCCACAAAAAAAAAAGAUAUUCUCCUACAUCUUAGCAACUCCUCUUUUCCACGUUUUAAGAAUUCUCUGUAUUAAUUGCCACACUUCUACAAUUGAACAACACCUCCCCCAAAAAAAACUAUCGCUCAUCUCCACGGUUUUAAUUUUUUUCUGCAACUAUGAUAUCCAAUUUUCCUCGACCAUACACAAUUAUAAUCUUUGCUGAUAUACCAAAAUUUUAAAAUUUUUUUAUUAAAUACAGUUUACAGCGAUGAAGACAUUAAUUUUGGCAUUUGUAUAUUGCGGGAGAAUACAAACAACAAGGUCAGUCAUCUACUUCACAUGCAUUCAAAUUUAUAUUCUUUUAUGUUAGACAAUGUUAUAAGCCUUUGU